AUGAAGGCGAAGGAGGAAGCAAAAGAAAAACUGAAGGAGGCUCUGAAGAAGAAGGAUCUUGACCUCGCCGAGGCGCAGAAAGCGGCUUUAGACAAGACAAAGCUCGCGGAAGAAAACUUGACUUCAGUCGGUAAACUUGAAGAGGAGAACGCCAAUCUAAAAGCUGCUCUUGAUGCGGCCAACAAGGAGGCUAGCCGACUGAAGAAUGACAAGAUUGCUCUGAGCGACAAGGCUAGCAAACUGGCGGGGAAGAAGAACGAUCUGGAGGCUUAUCUGGGAGGGCUCGCCAAGAAGUUAUUCCUCAUGCUUGAAGAAUUCUGCCAAAACUUUGAGGAAGAGACUAGUCGAGUGGAGACAGGCCUGGAUCCCAUUAACUCUCCUGUGAAGGAUGAAGCUGCCAUGAACGUGCUCCGACUGGAGUCUCGUGUUGCUGGUGUGGUGGACUAUCUUGCUCGACUGAAGGUUGCGAUGUCGCGAAUCGACACAACACUCUGGCCGGGGGAAACACUUCAGAAUGACCUCGAGUCUCUGAUGACUCGACUGAAUGAAGUUCCAGGUCGAGUGCAAGAAUGGAAGAAGUCUUCUGCCAGGUGUGGUGCUGAUGUUGCUCUGUCUCUGGUCCGUGUUCACUGCAAGGAUGCGCGAGAGGAAAAGCUGGCGUCCCUCAAGGUGGCCAAUACCAAGAAGCAUGACUUCCGAUCUUUCAUGGAGACCUUCAUUGCUGCUGCCACUCGGAUUGCAGAUGGAAUCGACCUGGACGAGUUUGUCGCGCCUUCCAGUCCUCCGCCUGAGGAGUGA
rnacentral:rRNA from 1 species